rnacentral:rRNA from 1 species
GUCGAGCGGACAGAAGGGAGCUUGCUCCCGGAUGUUAGCGGCGGACGGGUGAGUAACACGUGGGUAACCUGCCUGUAAGACUGGGAUAACUCCGGGAAACCGGAGCUAAUACCGGAUAGUUCCUUGAACCGCAUGGUUCAAGGAUGAAAGACGGUUUCGGCUGUCACUUACAGAUGGACCCGCGGCGCAUUAGCUAGUUGGUGAGGUAACGGCUCACCAAGGCGACGAUGCGUAGCCGACCUGAGAGGGUGAUCGGCCACACUGGGACUGAGACACGGCCCAGACUCCUACGGGAGGCAGCAGUAGGGAAUCUUCCGCAAUGGACGAAAGUCUGACGGAGCAACGCCGCGUGAGUGAUGAAGGUUUUCGGAUCGUAAAGCUCUGUUGUUAGGGAAGAACAAGUGCAAGAGUAACUGCUUGCACCUUGACGGUACCUAACCAGAAAGCCACGGCUAACUACGUGCCAGCAGCCGCGGUAAUACGUAGGUGGCAAGCGUUGUCCGGAAUUAUUGGGCGUAAAGGGCUCGCAGGCGGUUUCUUAAGUCUGAUGUGAAAGCCCCCGGCUCAACCGGGGAGGGUCAUUGGAAACUGGGAAACUUGAGUGCAGAAGAGGAGAGUGGAAUUCCACGUGUAGCGGUGAAAUGCGUAGAGAUGUGGAGGAACACCAGUGGCGAAGGCGACUCUCUGGUCUGUAACUGACGCUGAGGAGCGAAAGCGUGGGGAGCGAACAGGAUUAGAUACCCUGGUAGUCCACGCCGUAAACGAUGAGUGCUAAGUGUUAGGGGGGUUUCCGCCCCUUAGUGCUGCAGCUAACGCAUUAAGCACUCCGCCUGGGGAGUACGGUCGCAAGACUGAAACUCAAAGGA